rnacentral:tRNA from 1 species
CGGGGCGUAGCGCAGCCUGGUAGCGCGUUCGGUUCGGGAUCGAAAGGUCGCUGGUUCAAUUCCAGUCGCCCCGACCA